rnacentral:rRNA from 1 species
GUGGGGAAUAUUGCGCAAUGGGGGAAACCCUGACGCAGCAAUACCGCGUGAGUGAAGAAGGUUUUCGGAUCGUAAAACUCUUUUAUUGGGGAAGAAGAAGUGACGGUACCCAAUGAAGAAGUCCCGGCUAACUACGUGCCAGCAGCCGCGGUAAUACGUAGGUGACAAGCGUUGUCCGGAAUCACUGGGCGUAAAGGGCGCGUAGGCGGUUUUAUAAGUCAGAUGUGAAAGGUACCGGCUCAACCGGUGACAUGCAUUUGAAACUGUAAGACUUUAGUACUGGAGAGACAAGUGGAAUUCCUAGAGUAGCGGUGAAAUGCGUAGAUAUUAGGAGGAAAACCGGUGGCGAAGGCGGCUUGCUGGACAGAUACUGACGCUGAGGUGCGAAAGCGUGGGGAGCGAACAGGAUUAGAUACCCUAGUAGUCC